AGAGUUUGAUCCUGGCUCAGAGCGAACGCUGGCGGCAGGCCUAACACAUGCAAGUCGAACGGGCCCUUCGGGGUCAGUGGCAGACGGGUGAGUAACGCGUGGGAACGUGCCCAUCGGUUCGGAAUAACCCAGGGAAACUUGGGCUAAUACCGGAUACGUCCUUUUUGGAGAAAGAUUUAUCGCCGAUGGAUCGGCCCGCGUCUGAUUAGCUAGUUGGUGGGGUAAUGGCCCACCAAGGCGACGAUCAGUAGCUGGUCUGAGAGGAUGAUCAGCCACACUGGGACUGAGACACGGCCCAGACUCCUACGGGAGGCAGCAGUGGGGAAUAUUGGACAAUGGGCGCAAGCCUGAUCCAGCCAUGCCGCGUGAGUGAUGAAGGCCCUAGGGUUGUAAAGCUCUUUCACCCACGACGAUAAUGACGGUAGUGGGAGAAGAAGCCCCGGCUACUUCGUGCCAGCAGCCGCGGUAAUACGAAGGGGGCUAGCGUUGCUCGGAAUCACUGGGCGUAAAGGGCGCGUAGGCGGACCUUUAAGUCAGGGGUGAAAGCCUGUGGCUCAACCACAGAAUUGCCUUUGAUACUGAGGGUCUCGAGACCGGAAGAGGUUGGUGGAACUGCGAGUGUAGAGGUGAAAUUCGUAGAUAUUCGCAAGAACACCAGUGGCGAAGGCGGCCAACUGGUCCGGUUCUGNNNNNNAGGCGCGAAAGCGUGGGGAGCAAACAGGAUUAGAUACCCUAGUAGUCC
rnacentral:rRNA from 1 species